rnacentral:rRNA from 1 species
GACGAACGCUGGCGGCGUGCUUAACACAUGCAAGUCGAACGGAAAGGCCCUGCUUUUGUGGGGUGCUCGAGUGGCGAACGGGUGAGUAACACGUGAGUAACCUGCCCUUGACUUUGGGGUAACUUCAGGAAACUGGGGCUAAUACCGGAUAGGAGCUCCUGCUGCAUGGUGGGGGUUGGAAAGUUUCGGCGGUUGGGGAUGGACUCGCGGCUUAUCAGCUUGUUGGUGGGGUAGUGGCUUACCAAGGCUUUGACGGGUAGCCGGCCUGAGAGGGUGACCGGCCACAUUGGGACUGAGAUACGGCCCAGACUCCUACGGGAGGCAGCAGUGGGGAGUAUUGCACAAUGGGCGGAAGCCUGAUGCAGCAACGCCGCGUGCGGGAUGACGGCCUUCGGGUUGUAAACCGCUUUCGCCUGUGACGAAGCGUGAGUGACGGUAAUGGGUAAAGAAGCACCGGCUAACUACGUG